rfam:Ciona savignyi cont_26117, whole genome shotgun sequence.
GCCUAGAUGGCGCAGUAGUCAGCGCGUGAGUCUCAUAAUCUCAAGGUCGUGAGUUCGAUCCUCACUCGGGGCA